rnacentral:rRNA from 1 species
CGCCUCCUGCAAAAAUCAAUGUAUAGGAGGUCUUGCCUGCCCAGUGACAAGUUAAACGGCCGCGGUAUUUUGACCGUGCGAAGGUAGCGCAAUCACUUGUCUUUUAAAUGAAGACCUGUAUGAAUGGUGGAACGAGGGCUUAACUGUCUCCCCUUUCAAGUCAAUGAAAUUGAUCUGCCCGUGCAGAAGCGGACAUAAAAAUACAAGACGAGAAGACCCUUUGGAGCUUAAGAUACAAGAUCAACUAUGUCAAGAACUCUAAAAUUAAGUUAAACUAAAUAGUUAACUGAUCCCUAUCUUCGGUUGGGGCGACCGCGGGAGAAAACAAAGCUCCCACGCGGACUGGGAUUAUAAUCCUAAAACCAAGAAAGACAUCUCUAAGUCGCAGAACAUCUGACCAUAAAGAUCCGGCCUAACCCGCCGACCAACGGACCAAGUUACCCUAGGGAUAACAGCGCAAUCCCCUUUCAGAGUCCAUAUCGACAAGGGGGUUUACGACCUCGAUGUUGGAUCAGGACAUCCUAAUGGUGCAGCCGCUAUUAAGGGUUCGUUUGUUCAACGAUUAAAGUCCU